CCUACGGGAGGCUGCAGUAGGGAAUCUUCCACAAUGGACGAAAGUCUGAUGGAGCAACGCCGCGUGAGUGAAGAAGGGUUUCGGCUCGUAAAGCUCUGUUGGUAGUGAAGAAAGAUAGAGGUAGUAACUGGCCUUUAUUUGACGGUAAUUACUUAGAAAGUCACGGCUAACUACGUGCCAGCAGCCGCGGUAAUACGUAGGUGGCAAGCGUUGUCCGGAUUUAUUGGGCGUAAAGCGAGUGCAGGCGGUUCAAUAAGUCUGAUGUGAAAGCCUUCGGCUCAACCGGAGAAUUGCAUCAGAAACUGUUGAACUUGAGUGCAGAAGAGGAGAGUGGAACUCCAUGUGUAGCGGUGAAAUGCGUAGAGAUUAGGAAGAACACCAGUGGCGAAGGCGAUUCUCUGGACUGUAACUGACGCUGAGGCUCGAAAGCGUGGGGAGCAAACAGGAUUAGAUACCCGAGUAGUC
rnacentral:rRNA from 1 species